rnacentral:rRNA from 1 species
GACGAACGCUGGCGGCGUGCCUAAUACAUGCAAGUUGAGCGCUGAAGGUUGGUACUUGUACCGACUGGAUGAGCAGCGAACGGGUGAGUAACGCGUGGGGAAUCUGCCUUUGAGCGGGGGACAACAUUUGGAAACGAAUGCUAAUACCGCAUAAAAACUUUAAACACAAGUUUUGAGUUUGAAAGAUGCAAUUGCACCACUCAAAGAUGAUCCCGCGUUGUAUUAGCUAGUUGGUGAGGUAAAGGCUCACCAAGGCGAUGAUACAUAGCCGACCUGAGAGGGUGAUCGGCCACAUUGGGACUGAGACACGGCCCAAACUCCUACGGGAGGCAGCAGUAGGGAAUCUUCGGCAAUGGACGAAAGUCUGACCGAGCAACGCCGCGUGAGUGAAGAAGGUUUUCGGAUCGUAAAACUCUGUUGGUAGAGAAGAACGUUGGUGAGAGUGGAAAGCUCAUCAAGUGACGGUAACUGCCCAGAAAGGGACGGCUAACUACGUGCCAGCCGCCGCGGUAA